GGAGCCAAGAGGGGCCACGUGACUUGCCGGGGAUUGGAGUGCCCAGCUCCCAGCCGCCGUCUGUCAGCUCGGGUCUGCGGCGUUCCGGGGAAGCGCCCGGGCCACAGCCCUGGGGGAUCUUUCGAUCGGUCACAGGCUAGGGUGAGGAAACGAGGCCCAAGGAGGCUCAUGAUUUAUCCAAGAACAGGUGCCUCCUGAAGAGCUACCAUGUCUGAGACUUGUGCAUCUUCCUCAGAAAACAGCAACAGAAGCUGUAAACUCAAACCCCCAAAUCUUCGAAUGUCAGAAAAGAAAUGUUGUGAGUGCUGGAGAAUAUAAGGGGCUGCCAUCUCAGGAUUUUAUUUUGGGAAUAUAGUUGUAAUCUUAGACUCUGCUGCUUGGGAGGAGAAUGAGAAAUAAUUCUUUGACAUGGGAAUUUAAAACAGUUCCCAGGGGGCCAUUUCUGGCAGGAAUAAGUAGACUUAAGUGAAAUGUCUGUUUUUGGGGUUAGACUGCUAUGUGGCUGGGCAGUUUCUUAACACUUCCUUUGGGAGCAUCUGCAACUAUUGUUCACACAAGAAGGUAGAGUAGCAGGGUGUAGGCCUUACUUGGGGUUGUUACUGUUUUAGUUUUCCUUUAUCUGUUGUGCUAAGUUCUGGGAGGGUGUUGCUCUUUGCAGAAAUUGCUGGUAGAAGUCAGUGCUGUCUUCUCUCAUUCUUACAGACCUCACGGGACUGAGCCCCUACAUGUGACAUCUCACAGUGUCUUGGGUACCUACCUUACCCUCUUAUCAAUUUAACCUUUGUGCUUUGCAAACUAUUUCACAGGAGUAUUUUCUUUUUCUUUCUUUUUUUGAGAGAGGGUCUUGCUAUGAAGCCCAGGCUGGCCUUGAACUUGCCAUUCUCCUACCCCAGACUCUCCAGUGCUGUGAUUACAUGUAUAUGCCACCAUGUUUGGUACACAGGAACAUUUUCCUGCCAGUCUU